GCAGAGUAGCUUCAGGCGCGUUAAGUGUUCAUGAACGGGGAGUUGUCAUGAAACGAAACCGAUUCGGUGCGGUGCCUGCGGCGCAUCCCGCUGC
rnacentral:ncRNA from 1 species